CCCUUAGAUGUUCUGGGCCGCACGCGUGCUACACUGAGUGGAUCAGCGGGUCAGGUUGCGCGAAAGCGUUUCCUAAUCUUUAAAUCCGCUCGUGAUGGGGAUUGACGGUUGCAAUUUUCUGUCAUGAACGAGGAAUACCUUGUAAGCGCGGGUCAUCAUCCCGCGCUGAAUACGUCCCUGCCCUUUGUACACACCGCCCGUCGCUACUACCGAUUGAAUGGUUUAGUGAGAUCUUCGGAUUGGCGCCACUGCGGCUCAGCAAUGGGCUCGGUGGAUGCCGAAAAGUUGAUCAAACUUGAUCAUUUAGAGGAAGUAAAAGUCGUAACA
rnacentral:rRNA from 1 species